CGGAUAAGUGUUAUUCUCUUAUGGUUGGGGCCUGUUAUCUAACUCCCACGUGAAUAGAUAUUUUUCGUAUCACACCGUACGGAGUGUGAUAUGAAAAAGUGAUAUCAAAAUUACGUUAAUUUGAUUGGCUUAUCUCGUAAAUUUCCAAUAUUUUCAUUGGCCGUUGAUCAGGUCAUCAUUCACUGGAAAAGGUCAUGACGGGACUACUUUUUUUCUUGACAACUGAUUGUUUACCUCCGGUUUUCGCGAUUUUCGUCUGCUU
rnacentral:lncRNA from 1 species